UUUAGAUUUUUUUUUUAUUUUUUAAAUUGUUACACUAGUGCAGAUUGUUUCUCCCAUUAUAGGGUUUGCAGUCAUGAAAAGUGUUGAUAGGGAUUAUAUCCAUGAAAAUAUUUCUAGAACAUUCAUUCAUUUUAUAUUAACAGCUUGCAUUGGUGUGGUACAUUUGUUGCAAUUGAUGAACCAGUAUUGGUACAGCAUUAUUCACAUUUUGAGUUCUCAAAUUCUGAAACUUUUUUUUAUCAACACAUAACCAUACGUGAUAUCUCAGAAUUAAAUAUUCAGCAUGU
rnacentral:lncRNA from 1 species